ACAUAUCUGAUUGAAACACUGCUUCUCGUACGAUCACUGCAGUUAAGCAAGGUCGUGCCUGGUCUGUGCCUAGAUGAGUGACCGCUUGGAAGUACCAUGUGCUAUA